rnacentral:rRNA from 1 species
AUUGAACGCUGGCGGCAUGCUUUACACAUGCAAGUCGAACGGUAACAGGUUAAGCUGACGAGUGGCGAACGGGUGAGUAAUGCAUCGGAACGUGCCCGAUCGUGGGGGAUAACGCAGCGAAAGCUGCGCUAAUACCGCAUACGAUCUGAGGAUGAAAGCGGGGGACCGUAAGGCCUCGCGCGAUCGGAGCGGCCGAUGUCAGAUUAGGUAGUUGGUGGGGUAAAGGCUCACCAAGCCGACGAUCUGUAGCUGGUCUGAGAGGACGACCAGCCACACUGGGACUGAGACACGGCCCAGACUCCUACGGGAGGCAGCAGUGGGGAAUUUUGGACAAUGGGCGAAAGCCUGAUCCAGCAAUGCCGCGUGCAGGAAGAAGGCCUUCGGGUUGUAAACUGCUUUUGUACGGAGCGAAAAGGCCCUUUCUAAUACAAGGGGCUCAUGACGGUACCGUAAGAAUAAGCACCGGCUAACUACGUGCCAGCCGCCGCAGUAACAC